UACGAAGGGGGCUAGCGUUGCUCGGAAUCACUGGGCGUAAAGCGCACGUAGGCGGCUUUUUAAGUCAGGGGUGAAAUCCUGGAGCUCAACUCCAGAACUGCCUUUGAUACUGAGAAGCUUGAGUCCGGGAGAGGUGAGUGGAACUGCGAGUGUAGAGGUGAAAUUCGUAGAUAUUCGCAAGAACACCAGUGGCGAAGGCGGCUCACUUGCCCGGUACUGACGCUGAGGUGCGAAAGCGUGGGGAGCAAACAGG
rnacentral:rRNA from 1 species